CUCUACUGGGACGUCAUGCAGGAGAACUACGAGACGGUGACCUUGCUGGGAUUUCCCCUUGCCAAACCUGAACUUAUCGCCCGCCUGGAGCAAGGGGAAGAGCCGUGGGUGCCCGAUCUCCAGGCCUGCGAGGAAAGAAGGCUUCCAAGAUGCCCCCAUACAGCAGGUGCUGAGCGAGGGAAUGAGAAUGAGGAGGAGAAUCAUCAUCAGGAAGUUCCUGGAGAAGUGCAACCCCAGGCGACCUUUGUGGGAGGAGCUGAAGGGAAAUGUUUCAGUCCAAAGUCAGCACAAAAGUCACUUAAGAAAAGCCACACAGGAGAGAGACCCCACAAGUGCUUUGAUUGUGGGAAAAGUUUCACACAAAGGUCAGACCUUGAUAAACAUCAGGCAAUCCACACAGGAGAGAGAACCCACAAGUGCUUGGACUGUGUGAAAAGUUUCAUAUAGAGAUCACACCUCAUUAAACAUGAGAGAAUCCACACAAGAUCUAAACUUCUGUGACACAUGACAAAAAGGGUUAAGCAGCUUCCAUGUAAUUGACUGAAAUCAGGCCUUGUUACACAUCAGGGAAAACUAAAUCCUCAGUACCACUUCCAGGGCUGGCUCCAGGCACCAGACGAGGAAGCACGUGCCUUGGGGGCGGCACUCUUCAAAGUAAUCUUAUUGAGAGCGGCAACAGUUCCUCAGUACCUCUCUGCAUUUGAUUUUGUUACAAAAUCAAUAAGUUCAGAUGGCAUGAGCCCCAGAGGGACAGAUGGUUCCACAGGCAGUCCUCCUUCGAUACCCCAUUAGAGAUUUCAGAAGGUCUCUUACCUCUUGAUUGGCGCCUUGGGGUUCGAAGGGGAACAGUCCGCAGUAGCUGCCGCGGGCUGAGCCUGGCGUUACCAUCCGAGUCACGGCAUCAAUAAUUGCGGAAGAAAACAGAGUUUUUACUUUAAGGUUGGUUGUAACAAAUCAGAGACAGUUUAUUCUUAAGCAAUUGCAAGAGAGGAACUGCACACCCAGGCAGGGAAUCUCUCUUACUCCAGGUAGGGCUCCAAAGAUAAACAGUUGGAGCAAGACUUUCUACCUUUUUUUUUAAUCGACAAUAAUGAUUAUACAUGAACAACCUUGCCACUUGCUGAAACCAGAAAAUUGGAUCUACAUAAAGGUCCAUCAGCGAAAGACCACCCUGGCUCCACGCUGGAAAGGACCUUAUCAAGUCCUGCUGAUUACCAACACCACUGUAAAAUGCCAAGAACUGACUGCCUGGACCCGUGCUUCUCACUGCAAAAAGGCCUCUCCACCUCAAGAGGACUUUACGACUGAUGAUCAGCCUGUUUCUCCUCCUGAUGCCGCUGUUUUUUUUGGGCAGCAGGAAAAAAGGACAAGAUAAAGUGCUACUAACCUCUCCCUUGUCCACUGACAGAACUACCAUGCAUUUGGCUUGUGCUAAAAAACCUAAAGCAUUACAGGGUGAUGUGCUAGUAACCUCUCCCCUGCAAAAUGCUAAACCACCACUGUGCCAAGAAAGAAGUAGGAACACUUGCUCUACUGAAACCACCAAAGCCCAGGGACUUCUGACCACAAAGAACAUUAAAAACUGGCACUGGUGGGAAAAAAAACAAAAUGUUGUAUACUAGCAAGAAGGAAAUUAUGGGGACGAGUCUUGGAAGUGAAGUAUUCAUUGGACUUUGGGGUUUAUUCCAAGUAAUGCAUGCUGUGCUUUUGGACAAGUACCUUCAGCAUGUAUAGUGUUGUUCAAACAAACCCACACAGGAUCGUUUUAGGGGUCAAGACAAAGAUGCCACAUUUAUUAUUGAUGUAUAACUAUUAGCAAAUACCUUAAUACUUCUACAGAUCCACUCUCACACACACACACACACACACCAAAAUGUUCUGCAGCUGCUGGAUAGUUACCAGUCCUGAUUGAGUUUGCAGCUUGGGAUCGUAGCUCGUGGCAGCUAACUGGCCAGGAAAGCUGAGCACGAGGAGGAGCCGGGUCUCUGUCGGGCGCGCACCGAUGCUCCUUGAUGUUGAUAGCAGAAUGUUAAGCAAAGUCUCUCAUCUCACCCUUCCUUUUUAUAGGCUUUUAGUUUGGAUUCAAAGUCUCUAGGUCUCGCUGUGUCACGCCGCCUCUGGGUUUGGUGCUUGAUCACCCGUCAAUUGCAGGUGUGACUGUCAGCCUGGGACCUGGCUUUGAUCUUCCUUCUGUUGUUUCUUUCUUUUUUUAGGGCGGAUGCUUCUUGCUUGAGUUAGGGCUGUUGUCUAGUUCUUCAGCCGUUGGCAUUUGAACUUUAUUUCAUCAGGACGGGCUGGUCCUGGAGGUUGAUUCUGUCACCUAUACAUACCUAAUUCACACAUCUCAACUAGACUAAUAAAAUUACAGUAUGGCUUGCAAAAAUGGAGGCUGUAGCACAUGCCUUCCACAAAAUGCAGUAAGCAUUUUAAAAUGGGUUUUGAAUUACAAUAUUGCACAGAAGUUUACAAUGUAGGCAAAAUGGCAAGUGUAAUUAAAUGGUGAACAGGAGUUACAAUGAUCCAGUGAAGAACUAAAAACCUGCUGACUACCAACACCGCUGUAAAAUGCCAAGAACUGACUGCCUGGACCCGUGCUUCUCACUGCAAAAAGGCCUCUCCACCUCAAGAGGACUUUACGACUGAUGAUCAGCCUGUUUCUCCUUCUGGUGCUGCUGUUUCUUUUGGGCAGCAGAAAAAAAGGAUAAGAUAAAGUGCUAGUAACCUCUCCCUUGUCUACUGACAGAACUACCAUGCAUUUGAUUUGUGCUAAAAAACCUAAAGCAUUACAGGGUGAUGUGCUAGUAACCUCUCCCCUGCAAAAUGCUAAACCACCACUGUGCCAAGAAGUAGGAAUACUUACUCUACUGAAACCACCAAAGCCCAGGGUUUUCUGACCACAAAGAACAUUAAAAACUGGCACUGGUGGGAAAAAAUAACAAAAUAUUGUAUACUAGCAAGAAGGAAAUUAUGGGGACGAGUCUUGGAAAUGUGAUAUUCAUUGGACUUUGGGGUUUAUUCCAAGUAAUGCAUGCUGUGCUUUUGGACAAGUACCUUCAGCAUGUAUAGCACUCCCCAGUUGGCUUUCAGAUGAUGAAUACCAAAGGCAUUUUGCUGCCACAAAUGCUACUCCUACCAUCUCCCCCACCACCACUACUUCCCCUGUAAUAUACCCAAAUACAAAUAUAUUCUAAUGAAAUACAGUGGCCAAAGCCUUCACGUCUUAGUGAUUUACUAAAAUUCUGCUCAAAAAAAUUGAUUCUUUAAAAUUCAAAAUCAGUCAUAUAAGCAAACAAGUAAAAAAACAAAUGGGUCAAUAAAAAUAGAAAUCUAGACUAUCACUACAAAUAAGCCCCCAAAAUCUAAAAUUAAUGUGUUCUAUUGCAAGGUAAAUAUAAUGGCCGUUCCCGAAAUGUAUAGCAUGUGAAAUGAAAAAGUCCCUUAUUUUUACUUAGUCACCCAACUAGGGUAAAUAAUCAAACGUAUACCCGAAAAGUCUGUUCUGCCACCGGAAAUUUUACCUGUACUAAAAUAAUCCCAGUAACCAAUAAUUUAACCUGCACCAUAUUGCAAUAUAUCCCUUCCCAUGCUAUUAAUGCUAAUGCCUCCCAAAAGUAUCUAAAAGUGUUUAGCCAAUAAAUGUGGUAUGGUACUUCACCUAAAAAAAAAAAAGAGAAAGCUAAAUUAUGCUCGGGACUAUAAAUGUACACUGCCCGUCUCCAGUUUUCAGGUCACCUCUAUAUAUUCUAAUUGCUGAAAAGGAACUGCCAUUAGGUUAGCACAGCAAAGGGCCUGGGUUUCCUCUAAAAAGAAAAAAAGAAGGGGGGGACUUCACUAAUCACCUAUAAAAUGGUGCCAGUAGCACAGCUGCAAUUUGGAAUAUCUAUAAAGGCCAACAACAUAAAUAAAUUGGAAAAGGCCACGGGUCUUCUCUCUGGAGCACAGCUAACCCAGGUACAGGCUGAAUUACGUGUUAUCUCUGCCCUGAGGUCAAUGACCCAGAUACUUCUGAUGACGAUGGUGCUAAAUAUCACUGAGGCUGGGAAGGCACUGUGGUGAGAUCUGGCUUGUUCAGAAGUUCAGGAUUUCCUGAAUGACCAGCUCAUGGCCAUUCAGAGUGAUCUGGAGGAUCAGGCUUUGCCUACAGCUCUUACAGACACUUCAGGAGUACCAUCUGAUCCAUGGCCGUAAAGACUUUCUGGGUGGAAGUGCAGGCAUUCGCAGUGCUCCUUCCAAGCAUACAGACCGAUUGGAGGGAUGUGGGUUCCCACAUACCGUAUCCUGCUGGGUCCGUGGCAAAAAUGCAUGUGGGAUUAAAUAAUUCACCAAAACAUUUGGGAAAUUAAACGACCUGGUAUGCCUAACCGAUUUGUAGUCAGUGCUCCUGGAAUAACCCCCGACAUUUAAAUAAAAAUAGGGAAUCAAUGGACACUUUGGCCUUUAGAACCCCUACAGCUUCAGCGUGUACAAAAACUGAAGCCUGGGGAAGUUGUCACUGUUCAUGACAACGUUUGUUGGAAGGGUAUGGGACAAAAAAUGACCCUACAGAACACCUGCUUUUCCAAGCUAAUAAUAGCCGCAUGUAUGUUGUAAGAGAAAACUUCAAUAGGCCUCAUAUUUCUCCCAGGCCUCUAUUUAUCCAAGGUAAGCUAACUGCAUAAGUGAGUAGGAGGGUUGGAGAAGGGGGAGAAGAAAGAAACUUGCCAAAGAAGAAGGAGUGUUAGAAAAGCCAGUAACCGCAAGAGGACAACCUGUGAAUAACAGGAAAAGCUUCUUUUGCUAUAUUCUUAAUAAGGCUUGUUUUUGAUAAACUUCUAAGUUACUAAUAAGGUUUGGAAAAGUGGGUGUGUAACUGUUUGUGGUUUUAAGCUUUAAGGUUCCUCGGAGAGCUACCAGCAUAUGCUUGAAAUAAAGAAGCCUCAGGCUGAUCUGAUU